UCCUCCGUGGCGCAAUUGGCUAGCGCGUUCGACUGUUAUGCAAUGAUAUUCCUUGUUACACGACUAUCGAGAGGUUGACAGUUCAAGCCUGUCCGGGGGAA